rnacentral:rRNA from 1 species
CUUUUAAAAGAUUGAGGUUUAGUUAACAUUAAUGUGGGUUUAGUUCUUAUAAAUAAUAAAAAUUGAAUUAGUUACUUUAGGGAUAACAGCGUAAUAAUCUCGGAAAGUUCAUAUUUAUGGAGUAGAUUGCGACCUCGAUGUUGAAUUAAAAUAAUCUUAGUGCAGUAGAAGCUAUUUGAGAGGGUUUGUUCAACCUUUAAAUUUUUACAUGAUCAGAGUUCAGACCGGA